rnacentral:pre_miRNA from 1 species
AGAGUAUAAUGCAGCCAAGGAUGACUUGCCGGAGGGUCGUACUCAUCAUGCAUAAUAAUAUUGGUGAUGAACAUAAUUCUGGCAAGUUGCCCUUCGGCUACAUUUUGCUCUCU